UUAAGUUAUUAAGGGCGCACGGUGGAUGCCUUGGCACUAGAAGCCGAUGAAGGACGUUACUAACGACGAUAUGCUUUGGGGAGCUGUAAGUAAGCUUUGAUCCAGAGAUUUCCGAAUGGGGAAACCCAGCAUGAGUUAUGUCAUGUUAUCGAUAUGUGAAUACAUAGCAUAUCAGAAGGCACACCCGGAGAACUGAAACAUCUUAGUACCCGGAGGAAGAGAAAGAAAAUUCGAUUCCCUUAGUAGCGGCGAGCGAAACGGGAAGAGCCCAAACCAACAAGCUUGCUUGUUGGGGUUGUAGGACACUCUAUACGGAGUUACAAAGGACGACAUUAGACGAAUCAUCUGGAAAGAUGAAUCAAAGAAGGUAAUAAUCCUGUAGUCGAAAAUGUUGUCUCUCUUGAGUGGAUCCUGAGUACGACGGAGCACGUGAAAUUCCGUCGGAAUCUGGGAGGACCAUCUCCUAAGGCUAAAUACUCUCUAGUGACCGAUAGUGAACCAGUACCGUGAGGGAAAGGUGAAAAGCACCCCGGAAGGGGAGUGAAAUAGAACCUGAAACCGUGUGCUUACAAGUAGUCAGAGCCCGUUAAUGGGUGAUGGCGUGCCUUUUGUAGAAUGAACCGGCGAGUUACGAUUUGAUGCAAGGUUAAGCAGUAAAUGUGGAGCCGUAGCGAAAGCGAGUCUGAAUAGGGCGUUUAGUAUUUGGUCGUAGACCCGAAACCAGGUGAUCUACCCUUGGUCAGGUUGAAGUUCAGGUAACACUGAAUGGAGGACCGAACCGACUUACGUUGAAAAGUGAGCGGAUGAACUGAGGGUAGCGGAGAAAUUCCAAUCGAACCUGGAGAUAGCUGGUUCUCUCCGAAAUAGCUUUAGGGCUAGCCUCAAGUGAUGAUUAUUGGAGGUAGAGCACUGUUUGGACGAGGGGCCCCUCUCGGGUUACCGAAUUCAGACAAACUCCGAAUGCCAAUUAAUUUAACUUGGGAGUCAGAACAUGGGUGAUAAGGUCCGUGUUCGAAAGGGAAACAGCCCAGACCACCAGCUAAGGUCCCAAAAUAUAUGUUAAGUGGAAAAGGAUGUGGCGUUGCCCAGACAACUAGGAUGUUGGCUUAGAAGCAGCCAUCAUUUAAAGAGUGCGUAAUAGCUCACUAGUCGAGUGACACUGCGCCGAAAAUGUACCGGGGCUAAACAUAUUACCGAAGCUGUGGAUUGUCCUUUGGACAAUGGUAGGAGAGCGUUCUAAGGGCGUUGAAGCAUGAUCGUAAGGACAUGUGGAGCGCUUAGAAGUGAGAAUGCCGGUGUGAGUAGCGAAAGACGGGUGAGAAUCCCGUCCACCGAUUGACUAAGGUUUCCAGAGGAAGGCUCGUCCGCUCUGGGUUAGUCGGGUCCUAAGCUGAGGCCGACAGGCGUAGGCGAUGGAUAACAGGUUGAUAUUCCUGUACCACCUAUAAUCGUUUUAAUCGAUGGGGGGGACGCAGUAGGAUAGGCGAAGCGUGCGAUUGGAUUGCACGUCUAAGCAGUAAGGCUGAGUAUUAGGCAAAUCCGGUACUCAUUAAGGCUGAGCUGUGAUGGGGAGAAGACAUUGUGUCUUCGAGUCGUUGAUUUCACACUGCCGAGAAAAGCCUCUAGAUAGAAAAUAGGUGCCCGUACCGCAAACCGACACAGGUAGUCAAGAUGAGAAUUCUAAGGUGAGCGAGCGAACUCUCGUUAAGGAACUCGGCAAAAUGACCCCGUAACUUCGGGAGAAGGGGUGCUCUUUAGGGUUAACGCCCAGAAGAGCCGCAGUGAAUAGGCCCAAGCGACUGUUUAUCAAAAACACAGGUCUCUGCUAAACCGUAAGGUGAUGUAUAGGGGCUGACGCCUGCCCGGUGCUGGAAGGUUAAGAGGAGUGGUUAGCUUCUGCGAAGCUACGAAUCGAAGCCCCAGUAAACGGCGGCCGUAACUAUAACGGUCCUAAGGUAGCGAAAUUCCUUGUCGGGUAAGUUCCGACCCGCACGAAAGGCGUAACGAUUUGGGCACUGUCUCAACGAGAGACUCGGUGAAAUCAUAGUACCUGUGAAGAUGCAGGUUACCCGCGACAGGACGGAAAGACCCCGUGGAGCU
rnacentral:rRNA from 1 species